AGAGCGAACGCUGGCGGCAGGCCUAACACAUGCAAGUCGAGCGGCCGUAGCAAUACGGCAGCGGCAGACGGGAGAGUAACACGUGGGAACGCGCCCUUCGGUUCGGAAUAACUCAGGGAAACUUGGGCUAAUACCGGAUACGCCCUUACGGGGAAAGAUUUAUUGCCGAAGGAACGGCCCGCGUCCGAUUAGCUUGUUGGUGAGGUAACGGCUCACCAAGGCGACGAUCGGUAGCU
rnacentral:rRNA from 1 species